UUGCGACAUGCUUAUCCUAAAGACUCUCGACAAGACUCUUGCAUCGAUGAAGAACAUAGGGAAAUGUGAUACUUGGUGUGAAUUGCAUAAUCCCGUGAACCAUCGAGCCUUUGAACACAAGUUGUGCCUAAAUUCAUGCGAUACUGGGUGUUGCACAUCGUUGCCUCGUGCCUUGGCCACAUGCUAGGCACCAAGCGGGGCGAAUGUUGGCUUCCCGUGAGCAAUGUCUCAUGGUUGGUUGAAAAUUGAGUACAUGGUGGAAGGAGUCGUGAUGGAUGGUGGUUGAGCUAAUGCUCGAGACCGAUCGUGCGUGUCACCCACACCAGCUUUGCAAAUCUUUAACCCAUGGGGGUCUAUUGGCCUCCUAAUACGGGAACCUCAGGUCAGGCGGGGCUACUCGCUGAGUGUAAGCAUAUCAAUAAGGGGAAGAAAAUAAACUAACAAGGAUACCCUUAGUAAUGGCAAUCGAAUGGGGAAAAGCCCACCAUCAGAAUUAGUUGCCCUCACUAUCUGAAUUUUAGUAUGGAGAAGCGUCCCUUGUGGUGGACCAGGCCCAAGUCCCUUGGAAGGGGGCGCUAGAGAGGGUGUGAGUCAUGUCGUGCCCGAACCCUAUUGCACCACAAGGCACUGUCUGCAAGUCGGGUUGUUUGGGAAUGCAGCCCUAAUUGGGCGGUAAAUUCUGUCCAAGGCCAAAUACUAGUGAGAGACCGAUAGGGACAAGUACCGCAAGGGAAAUAUGAAAAGGACUUUGAAAAUAGAGUCAAAGAGUGCUUGAAAUUGUCGGGAGGAAAGCGGAUGAGGGCCAGUGAUGUGCCUCGACCACAUGUGGAACAACGAGAGCCAGUCUGCCAAUUGAUUCGGGCGUGGAAUGACAUGAAUUAUGAUGGUGGCCCAAGUUGUUGGCAUGCUUGUGGAGACGUCAUCAUCGCGAUUAUGGUUGGAAGCGCGCCCCAUCUCGGUGUGCUUCGACACCUGUGUGUUCCUGACGUCGGCCUACGGGCUCCCCAUUCGGCCUGACUUCAAAAACGGACGAUGGAGUCUGGCAUGUGUGCGAUUCAGUGGGCAAGUAAACCCCUAAGGCGCAAGGAAGCUGAUUGGUGAGAUCCCCUUGUGGGUUGCACUGCCGACCGACCCUAUUCUUUUGUGAAGGGUUUGAGUGAGGGCAUACCCCUGGCGACCCUUGAAAAUCAGGAGGACUAAGUGUUUCCCACGCCCGGUUGUACUUAUAAUCGCAUUAGGUCUCCAAUGAGAACAACCUCUGGUCGAUGGAAUAAUGUAGGCAAGGGAAGUCGACAAACUGGAUCCAUAACCUCGGGAAAAGGAUUGGCUCUAAGGGCUGGAAAUGGGGCCACAGUCCCGAACUCGUCGGCUGUCGGUGGACUGCUCGAGCUACUUUCGUGGCGAGGGAAGGUCACCACGUGCCCGUUGGGGGACGGAUUAGGAACAGGCCCUUCAGGGCAUCUUCCUUAGGCUUUGAACAUUCAACUCCGAAUUGGUACGGACAAGGGGAAUUCGAUAUUUUAUGUAAAACAAAUAAUUGUGAAGGUCCAUGCAGAUGUUGACACAAGGAGUUUUAUGCCCAGUGCUCUGAAUGUCAAAGUGAAUAAAUUCAACCAAGCGAUGGUAAACGACUGGAGUAACUAUGACUCUCUAAGGUAUACAAAUGCCUCGUCAUCUAAUUAGUGACGCACAUGAAUGGAUUAACGAUAUUCCCACUGUCCCUGUCUACUAUCCAGCGAUACCAUAACCAAGGGAAUGGACUUAGCAGAAUCAACAUGGAAAGAAGACCCUGUUGAGCUUGACUCUAGUCUGACUUUGUGAAAUGACUUGAGCGGUGUAGGAUAAGUCUGAUCUAGAAACAACGUAAGUGAAAUAACACUACUUUUAACGUUAUUUUACUUAUUUUGAGAAUCAGAGGCGGGGCGCUGCCCCUGUUUGUGGACCCAAGGUCGGCCUCAGUAGGUCGAUCCAGGCAUAAGACAUUGUCAGGUGGGGAGUUUGGCAGGGGUGACACAUCUGUUAAAAGAUAACAUAUGUGUCCUAAGAUGAGCUCAACGAGAACAAAAAUCUCGUGUGGAACAAAGGGGUAAAAGCUCGUUCGAUUUUGAUUUCUAGUUCGAUUACGAACUGUGCAAGUGUGGCCUAUAGAUCCUUUAGUCCAUCGAAAUUUGAAGCUAUAGGUGUGAGAAAAGUUACCACAUGGAUAAUUGGCUUGUGGCAGCUAAGCGUUCAUAGCAAUGUUGCUUUUCUAUCCUUCGAUGUCGGCUCUUCCUCUCAUUGUGAAGCAUAAUUCACCUAGUGUUGGAUUGUUCACCAUCAAUAGGGAAUGUGAGUUGAGUUUAGACUGUCGUGAGACAAGUUAGUUUUACCAUACUAGUGAUAGUGUCGCAAUAGUAAUUCAACAUAGUAUGAGAGAAACCGUUGAUUCACAAAAUUGGUCAUCGUGUUUGGUUGAAAAGAAAGUAGUGCGAAGCUAUCAUACAUUUGACUACAACUGAACACCUCUAAGUUAGAAUCCAGGCUUGAAGCGAUGCAUGUGCCCCUCGCCCAUUUUCCGACCAGUAGUAGGGGGCCUCGGUCCUUAGAGGCACAUGUCGUUGGUAAGCCCCACGGGGUGGAAAAGCCUCGCGGGACGCCUUGAAACGCUAUUCCCCACUGGGUAGCGGGUAGAAUCCUUUGCAGACGACUUAAAUAUGUGAUGGGGUAUUGGAAGUGCAGAGUGGCCUGUCUGCCACGAUAUACUGAGAUUCAGCCCUUGUCGCUUCGGUCCGUCCCUCCCAUCUCA
rnacentral:rRNA from 1 species